rnacentral:misc_RNA from 1 species
UGUGAUCAGUGACCUUGUUGAUGAUGUUCCACUUCAGUGUGGAAUAUGCGGUUUUGGAUUUAAAUUCCAAGUGAAACUUGAUAGACACUUGGAGUGGCACUCAUUGAGAAAUCCAGAUGUCAAACUGUUGAAUAAUUCAAGAAAGUGGUAUUUAAAUUCUGGGGAAUGGAUUGCUGCAUUUGGUGGCCUCCCUUGUGGCGAUAAAUCUGAAGGGCCAGCUGGAGGUUCUAGUGAGACAUCAGAA